GUGCUCGCGCGGCAGCACAUACACUAAAAUUGGAACACAGAGAAGAUGAGUGUGGGCUUGUGCAAGGAUGACACGCAAAUUCCUGAGGCAUUCCACAUUUUU